rnacentral:lncRNA from 12 species
AUGGUAUUCCAGAAGACACUCACCCCGAAUUCAUCUCAGCCACAUGUUUCACUAAAAUCAGAAGCCUCCUCAUUUGUGGGGCGGCCACAGUCCCUGCUGACACAGGACCUGGGAUGGAGCCAAAAGACAGGGUCAGAGACACGGAGAUGGAGGAGGGAUUUGUCUCUGGCUGCCCAACGUCAGGGCUUGGACUGGAAUCUGGGAGCCCCAACCCUACCCCUGCUUGUUUCUGGAAUAUGGAACCCAGAGUGAAUGAAAAAGAAAUGAGAUAUCCUCGUGAUAUAAGAGGCUUAACAAAAAUUAACCCGAGUGUGGAUUUCUUCGUUAGCUGGCCGCAAACAAACGCUGAGAGCCUUGGCGAGGCCAGGACACGCAGACAAAAACUUCCGGGCCUCAUGUUCUGCCUUUGGGCACGUGCUGAGUCUUCCCUAAUCGGAUGUUGCAGAGGAAGGCUAAUUAUUUCCUGAAGGUCUCUGUUUACUAAAGUCAGCAUCAAGCCAGAUCACAAGUAUCGGGAAAUGUUCAUAGACCAGAAUAAAGCACUGGAUAGCA